rnacentral:rRNA from 1 species
UCUACGGGCGGCUGCAGUGGGGAAUAUUGCACAAUGGGCGCAAGCCUGAUGCAGCCAUGCCGCGUGUGUGAAGAAGGCCUUCGGGUUGUAAAGCACUUUCAGCGGGGAGGAAGGCGGUGAGGUUAAUAACCUCAUCGAUUGACGUUACCCGCAGAAGAAGCACCGGCUAACUCCGUGCCAGCAGCAGCGGUAAUACGGAGGGUGCAAGCGUUAAUCGGAAUUACUGGGCGUAAAGCGCACGCAGGCGGUCUGUCAAGUCGGGUGUGAAAUCCCCGGGCUCAACCUGGGAACUGCAUUCGAAACUGGCAGGCUAGAGUCUUGUAGAGGGGGGUAGAAUUCCAGGUGUAGCGGUGAAAUGCGUAGAGAUCUGGAGGAAUACCGGUGGCGAAGGCGGCCCCCUGGACAAAGACUGACGCUCAGGUGCGAAAGCGUGGGGAGCAAACAGGAUUAGAUACCCGUGUAGUC